rnacentral:rRNA from 1 species
GACGAACGCUGGCGGCGUGCUUAACACAUGCAAGUCGAGCGGUAAGGCCCUUUCGGGGGUACACGAGCGGCGAACGGGUGAGUAACACGUGGGUGACCUGCCCUCAGCUCCGGGAUAAGCCUGGGAAACCGGGUCUAAUACUGGAUAUGACUCCAUGACGCAUGUUGUGGGGGUGGAAAGCCUUGUGCGGCUGAGGAUGGGCCCGCGGCCUAUCAGCUUGUUGGUGGGGUGAUGGCCUACCAAGGCGACGACGGGUAGCCGGCCUGAGAGGGCGACCGGCCACACUGGGACUGAGACACGGCCCAGACUCCUACGGGAGGCAGCAGUGGGGAAUCUUGCGCAAUGGGCGAAAGCCUGACGCAGCGACGCCGCGUGAGGGAUGACGGCCUGUGU